rnacentral:pre_miRNA from 1 species
AUGAAGGACAUGACAGAAUAACUCCAGUUGUCCAGUGUUUGAUUUGUAAAACAGUUUCAGGAAGAGGACAAACUGGAGGCAAGGGACAGGACAAAAACUA